GGAUGUUGGCUUAGAAGCAGCCAUCAUUUAAAGAGUGCGUAAUAGCUCACUAGUCGAGUGACACUGCGCCGAAAAUGUACCGGGGCUAAACAUAUUACCGAAGCUGUGGAUUGUCCUUUGGACAAUGGUAGGAGAGCGUUCUAAGGGCGUUGAAGCAUGAUCGUAAGGACAUGUGGAGCGCUUAGAAGUGAGAAUGCCGGUGUGAGUAGCGAAAGACGGGUGAGAAUCCCGUCCACCGAUUGACUAAGGUUUCCAGAGGAAGGCUCGUCCGCUCUGGGUUAGUCGGGUCCUAAGCUGAGGCCGACAGGCGUAGGCGAUGGAUAACAGGUUGAUAUUCCUGUACCACCUAUAAUCGUUUUAAUCGAUGGGGGGACGCAGUAGGAUAGGCGAAGCGUGCGAUUGGAUUGCACGUCUAAGCAGUAAGGCUGAGUAUUAGGCAAAUCCGGUACUCGUUAAGGCUGAGCUGUGAUGGGGAGAAGACAUUGUGUCUUCGAGUCGUUGAUUUCACACUGCCGAGAAAAGCCUCUAGAUAGAAAAUAGGUGCCCGUACCGCAAACCGACACAGGUAGUCAAGAUGAGAAUUCUAAGGUGAGCGAGCGAACUCUCGUUAAGGAACUCGGCAAAAUGACCCCGUAACUUCGGGAGAAGGGGUGCUCUUUAGGGUUAACGCCCAGAAGAGCCGCAGUGAAUAGGCCCAAGCGACUGUUUAUCAAAAACACAGGUCUCUGCUAAACCGUAAGGUGAUGUAUAGGGGCUGACGCCUGCCCGGUGCUGGAAGGUUAAGAGGAGUGGUUAGCUUCUGCGAAGCUACGAAUCGAAGCCCCAGUAAACGGCGGCCGUAACUAUAACGGUCCUAAGGUAGCGAAAUUCCUUGUCGGGUAAGUUCCGACCCGCACGAAAGGCGUAACGAUUUGGGCACUGUCUCAACGAGAGACUCGGUGAAAUCAUAGUACCUGUGAAGAUGCAGGUUACCCGCGACAGGACGGAAAGACCCCGUGGAGCUUUACUGUAGCCUGAUAUUGAAAUUCGGCACAGCUUGUACAGGAUAGGUAGGAGCCUUUGAAACGUGAGCGCUAGCUUACGUGGAGGCGCUGGUGGGAUACUACCCUAGCUG
rnacentral:rRNA from 1 species